GAUAGAUGUGACGACUCCACCUGCUGUCUGGCGUGGGGCAUGAGAUGACUUUGUGAAUCUAAGCUGCACAGAAGGGGAACAUCAAGGAGAAUUUGGUCUGAAGUACAUGAAUUCCCUCCCUGAUCGUACUCCUGCUUGACCACUGAAUUAAGAAGUGUGGCUAAGGAUUACAGGAGGACAGAGAAUCAUGAAAACGUGAUCCUCUUGCCGAUCGUUAGUAGGGAAACAGGCGGACCUACACCUACAUAUGUAAUGAGUCUGCACGAAGAAGGUAAUUCUAUCUGGAAAGGUGGAAGGAGAAGGGCUUAGAGGGUUGUGAGGUACUCUAGGCAGCCUUGAAUGGUGAGAAUAAUGAGACAGAGAAGGACUUGUGACUUUGAAAUGUUGCCUUUCAUUAUUGUCAAAGAAGAAAUCUGUCUACUUCAAAACAUAAAGGAGUGAAGCAUGUUGGGAGGGAUUGAGUUUCCCUUCUACGAUUGGUUAAAAACAUGAGCUUUGCAAGUCACCUAUUCAGAGGGGAAAACCCGGCUAUUCUUGGACUUUGAUUUGGUGAAGUAAUGUCUACAAAUUUCUGAGGAACCCGGUGACUCAAGAAUAUUCUACUCCGCCAAAGUGUUGGUCAAAUCUAACAACAACAAAUACUACAUUCUCACGUACCAAUGAAUUCAAGAAUGAACACACACCUUAGGAAAAUAAUUAUUCAAGGACAAGAGUCAACCAGGUCAGAGGUAAGAUGAAAGACUCAUGAAUAGAAUAGUCAUAGCGAAAGAGUAGUGAUGGGCGUUGAAGAACCAGGUCUAAGGAGGAGUAGACAUUUUAGUAACAGGAUAGAAAAUGGAUCUUAUCUUGUUUACAAUGGGCUGUAAAUCAGACUGUGAGAAUAAUUGACUUCCUCAACUUCCUUAGAAUGAGGCUCAGUUUUAGAAAUGACCAACCACUU